UACGAAGGGGGCUAGCGUUGCUCGGAAUCACUGGGCGUAAAGCGCACGUAGGCGGAUUGCUAAGUCAGGGGUGAAAUCCUGGAGCUCAACUCCAGAACUGCCUUUGAUACUGGCGAUCUUGAGUCCGGGAGAGGUGAGUGGAACUCCGAGUGUAGAGGUGAAAUUCGUAGAUAUUCGGAAGAACACCAGUGGCGAAGGCGGCUCACUGGCCCGGUACUGACGCUGAUGUGCGAAAGCGUGGGGAGCGAACAGG
rnacentral:rRNA from 1 species